AGAGUUUGAUCCUGGCUCAGAUUGAACGCUGGCGGUAUGCUUUACACAUGCAAGUCGAACGGCAGCACGGGGCAACCUGGUGGCGAGUGGCGAACGGGUGAGUAACAUAUCGGAACAUGUCCGGAAGUGGGGGAUAACGUAGCGAAAGUUACGCUAAUACCGCAUAUGCCCUGAGGGGGAAAGGGGGGGAUCGCAAGACCUCUCGCUUUCGGAGUGGCCGAUAUCGGAUUAGCUAGUAGGUGAGGUAAAGGCUCACCUAGGCGACGAUCCGUAGCUGGUCUGAGAGGACGACCAGCCACACUGGAACUGAGACACGGUCCAGACUCCUACGGGAGGCAGCAGUGGGGAAUUUUGGACAAUGGGGGCAACCCUGAUCCAGCCAUACCGCGUGAGUGAAGAAGGCCUUCGGGUUGUAAAGCUCUUUCGGCAGGAAAGAAAUCGUGCAGGCUAAUAUCCUGUAUGGAUGACGGUACCUGAAGAAGAAGCACCGGCUAACUACGUGCCAGCAGCCGCGGUAAUACGUAGGGUGCGAGCGUUAAUCGGAAUUACUGGGCGUAAAGCGUGCGCAGGCGGCUUUGCAAGACAGACGUGAAAUCCCCGGGCUUAACCUGGGAACUGCGUUUGUGACUACAGGGCUAGAGUGUAGCAGAGGGGGGUGGAAUUCCACGUGUAGCAGUGAAAUGCGUAGAGAUGUGGAGGAAUACCGAUGGCGAAAGCAGCCCCCUGGGCUAACACUGACGCUCAUGCACGAAAGCGUGGGGAGCAAACAGGAUUAGAUACCCUGGUAGUCCACGCCCUAA
rnacentral:rRNA from 1 species